rnacentral:rRNA from 1 species
AGCGUUGUUCGGAAUUACUGGGCGUAAAGCGCGCGCAGGCGGUCCUUCAAGUCAGAGGUGAAAGCCCAGAGCUCAACUCUGGAGCGGCCUUUGAAACUAGAGGACUUGGGUACGGGAGAGGUGAGUGGAAUUCCGAGUGUAGAGGUGAAAUUCGUAGAUAUUCGGAAGAACACCAGUGGCGAAGGCGGCUCACUGGCCCGUUACCGACGCUCAGGCGCGACAGCGUGGGGAGCAAACAGG